AACGAACGCUGGCGGCAUGCCUAACACAUGCAAGUCGAACGAGACCUUCGGGUCUAGUGGCGCACGGGUGCGUAACGCGUGGGAACCUGCCCUUAGGUUCGGAAUAACUCCCCGAAAGGGGUGCUAAUACCGGAUAAUGUCUUCGGACCAAAGAUUUAUCGCCUUUGGAUGGGCCCGCGUUGGAUUAUCUAGUUGGUAGGGUAAAAGCCUACCAAGGCGACGAUCCAUAGCUGGUCUGAGAGGAUGAUCAGCCACACUGGGACUGAGACACGGCCCAGACUCCUACGGGAGGCAGCAGUGGGGAAUAUUAGACAAUGGGCGAAAGCCUGAUCCAGCAAUGCCGCGUGAGUGAUGAAGGCCUUAGGGUUGUAAAGCUAUUUUACCCGGGAUGAUAAUGACAGUACCGGGAGAAUAAGCUCCGGCUAACUCCGUG
rnacentral:rRNA from 1 species